rnacentral:rRNA from 1 species
CCUACGGGCGGUUGCAGUGGGGAAUAUUGCACAAUGGGCGCAAGCCUGAUGCAGCCAUGCCGCGUGUGUGAAGAAGGCCUUCGGGUUGUAAAGCACUUUCAGCGGGGAGGAAGGCGGUGAGGUUAAUAACCUCAUCGAUUGACGUUACCCGCAGAAGAAGCACCGGCUAACUCCGUGCCAGCAGCCGCGGUAAUACGGAGGGUGCAAGCGUUAAUCGGAAUUACUGGGCGUAAAGCGCACGCAGGCGGUCUGUCAAGUCGGAUGUGCAAUCCCCGGGCUCAACCUGGGAACUGCAUUCGAAACUGGCAGGCUAGAGUCUUGUAGAGGGGGGUAGAAUUCCAGAUGUAGCGGUGAAAUGCGUAGAGAUCUGGAGGAAUACCGGUGGCGAAGGCGGCCCCCUGGACAAAGACUGACGCUCAGGUGCGAAAGCGUGGGGAGCAAACAGGAUUAGAUACCCCAGUAGUC